GAUGAACGCUGGCGGCGUGCCUAAUACAUGCAAGUCGAGCGAACGGACGAGAAGCUUGCUUCUCUGAUGUUAGCGGCGGACGGGUGAGUAACACGUGGAUAACCUACCUAUAAGACUGGGAUAACUUCGGGAAACCGGAGCUAAUACCGGAUGAUAUUUUGAACCGCAUGGUUCAAAAGUGAAAGACGGUCUUGCUGUCACUUAUAGAUGGAUCCGCGCUGCAUUAGCUAGUUGGUAAGGUAACGGCUUACCAAGGCAACGAUGCAUAGCCGACCUGAGAGGGUGAUCGGCCACACUGGAACUGAGACACGGUCCAGACUCCUACGGGAGGCAGCAGUAGGGACUCUUCCGCAAUGGGCGAAAGCCUGACGGAGCAACGCCGCGUGAGUGAUGAAGGUCUUCGGAUCGUAAAACUCUGUUAUUAGGGAAGACCAUAUGUGUAAGUAACUGUGCACAUCUUGACGGUACCUAAUCAGAAAGCCACGGCUAACUACGUG
rnacentral:rRNA from 1 species